UCACGACGAGGUGGAUAUAUUUAAUCUUGUCCUUGAAAUGAGAAAAAACAAUCGAUUGAACAUGGUGCAGACAGAGGACCAGUACAUUUACAUUCACGAAUGUAUUAAGUCGUUCAUCACAACUCAACAAGAGGAAGAAGAACAAGAAGACGAUGAUGAAGCUAUUUACGUGAAUACAGGAUUUGGAGCCGAGGAAGAAAAUUUAUACGCCAAUACUUAAAAAUUGACAAAGAUUGAUUGGUGAUAGCUAAUUGACUAAGUGUAUAACAGUUAUUUGUAAUGGACAAAAACGUUUUUGCAGAACAAAUACAUGUAUUUAUAUUGAUUGACAGAAAAACAUAUGUAAUCUUAUAUAGUCACAAUCACAUAUUUCUAGGCAUGUAAUGUAUUUUUAUUUCAUUUAUUUAACGUAUGUAUCUAAACAAAUGUAAAUAGUAGCAUGUAAUCAUUCAUUUUGUAAAAGCACACUGUGUAUUGUAUCAGCCUUGUAAAGUCAUCAUCAUAUUAACUUAUUUGAUAGAAACUUUGAAUUAUAUCUUAACGCGAUAGUUCUAGAUUGACGAUGCAUAAAUAUUUACGUUGAUAUGGAAAAAUAAUCCCAUGGUGUUCUUGCGUAACGGAAAAAUCACGAGACUUAGGUUUAAAUUGUGUCCAGUCAAGGUCUUCACAGGGUCAAAUGACCGGGUUAGACUGUAUUAUACCACAGUUUUGUAAUGCUGCACGUUUAUAAUGUUGAUUUUUCACUUGGUAAUCGUGGCUUAGUAUUCAUAUUUUUGUAAACAAGCAAAUACUUUCAUUUUUAUUUGUACGCUUUUUUUCUACGAGAAAUUUAAUCAUAUAUUAACAUGAAUCUAUCUAAGCAUCUUCAUUAUCAAAAGAAUGUGUUUUAAAUGUUUAAUGUAUUUCAUGUUCAAUUUUUCCCGCUAAUGACAUUGUUUUGUGUAUAUAUUGUAUUUCCGGAUGUUCAACAACUGGUGAUACUUUUUUGUGAAGUUAUAUCAAUUUUUAUCGAAAAUUCAUUACUGGUAACAUUUAUUUGUGAAAUAAUUUCUGUGUAUCUGAAAAAUAAUUAGCUUCUGAAUAUUUUGUGUUGAAAAUUAAAAGCGUUGCAGUCAAUUCAUCACAAAUUAAUGUAUAAAUGUAUAAUUCUCAAAGGUCAAAUGAUUAAGAAAUAUUGAUCAAUAUAUUUUGAAAAGUGUUUGAUAAGAUUUUUAUUACAAUUAGAAUAAAUAGACACAUACAUUUUAUUUGCAUAAACAUAUUUGUACAGGCAGUAGGUAUAUAAAUGUAUCAUAUGGAUGACAAAAUAUAAAUUUUUCUAACAAAUUGUGAUAGGUAGGUUUUGCAGUGAUUUCUAAUAAAGAUCGUUUGUUUAGCUAAUGAUUGAGUGAGUUUAUAAGAGAG